UCGUAACAAGGUCUCCGUUGGUGAACCAGCGGAGGGAUCAUUACCGAGUACUAUAACUCAUAACCCUUUGUGAACCUUUAUACCUGUUGCUUCGGCGGCGCGCCUCCCGGGGCGUGCCCGCCGGUAUCAUCAGAAUCUCUGUUCGAACCCGACGAUAUUUCUGAGUGUUCUAAGCGAACUGUUAAAACUUUCAACAACGGAUCUCUUGGCUCCAGCAUCGAUGAAGAACGCAGCGAAACGCGAUAUGUAAUGUGAAUUGCAGAAUUCAGUGAAUCAUCGAAUCUUUGAACGCACAUGGCGCCUUCCAGUAUCCUGGGAGGCAUGCCUGUCCGAGCGUCGUUUCAACCCUCGAGCCCCCGUGGCCCGGCGUUGGGGAUCUGCCCAGGCAGUCCCCGAAAACCAGUGGCGGACCCGUUACAGGCCCUUCCCUUGCGUAGUAGCAUUCGCCUCGCAUCGGGAGCCGGCGGGCUUCCAGCCUCUAAACCCCCAUCAAGUCCGCCCCGGCGGCACCAAGGUGACCUCGGAUCAGGUAGGAAUACCCGCUGAACUUAAGC
rnacentral:misc_RNA from 1 species